AAAAGGUUGGCUGAUAUAAGAGGAGAGGUUCAUCACCAAAACUCCUAUAAACUAUUUUGUGCCUUAUUCUAAAGUACCUUGGGGUUUACAAAUACAGAGCCACUGAAGCCCAUAUAUCAUGUUGAGCUUUGAACAAGAACAUAGAGAAAACAGAUUGGGCCUCUUCUGAAAGCUAAUAUUAUAGCACAGGCUCAGCGUUUGUGUUAUGAUAUGAAGUUAGGAAACACAGGUUUGUAUUGUAACUCAAUUUUGUUGUGAG
rnacentral:lncRNA from 1 species